GCUCUAGAUGCCUUGUACAAUUAUCUGUGGUUUUGCCUCCCUCUAGUGGGUCAAUGUUGUACUGCAAGGCCAAAUGCCUCAUCACGUGGCUUUAAGACCUAUGGUUUCUAUGGCAGCCGCCAGGUAUGUCCGGAAGAGACACUGCCAUCAUUAUCCCAUGGUGCAGCGUCAAGAAAGUUGAGAAAAAUAGAAAUCCAUGAUGGAGACGUCUUCUCGUGAUCAAGCUGGUGGAGGUCUGCGGAACUGUCCUAGAAGGACCCAGUACAGCAAGGAGAUGCAGGAGAUGCUGAAAUAGGGAUCAGCUUUGCCAUUGACCUGCAACCCCACAUCAUCGGCCUCUCCCUCACUGCCCAAACCCAAAGUCGUAAGAAAAUAGCACAACCCGCACUCCAGCCAAGCCCCUGAGGCGCACCGCUGACAAUUGUAGUUCUGAGGACCACUACACCAGAGAUGGGUUCCACCCCAGUGCCACACGAGAUUUAGAGAAGAAGAGGAGGCACCAGAACAUUCUAGCUACGGGGCAGGAGGAGCCCAGACCCAAUCAUCCCAGGAACAUUUCCCUGGACCAAGGCCCAGAGGAGAGGGACCGCUUCCAGGAGGUUUUGGAUGAGAUUGAGGAGAGGAAGGAGUUUCUGGAAGAGAUGACAGCCCUGGGGAAAGGGAAGCAGUAUCACAACAUCAACACAGAGAUCUCACAGAAAAUCCACGAGCUGGAGGUGAUUGACAAGGCCCGCAGUGCAGAGCUGAGGACCAUUAUGCCAGAGAAGAAGACUGAGUGACAGAGAGGAAUACUCAUCUACUUACUCUGCUGAAUGGAUCUACUAUACUGCUAAUACUCUCCUACAGAGAAUACACUGCACAGGAAUUCUGAACUCAAACUUGGAUACUAGUCUUCAUUUGUGCAUAAUGCUUGUUCAAAUUAUGGCAUGGUAACAAAUGUUGCUGGGAAGACUCCAAUGCAUCCUUAUCAAAGUGUGAAAAAGCAUUGUAGUGUACAUUAAAACAUGACCACACAUCUUU